UACGGGGGGGGGCAAGCGUUGUUCGGAAUUACUGGGCGUAAAGCGCGUGUAGGCGGCCAAGCCAAGUCGGAUGUGAAAGCCCUCGGCUCAACCGGGGAAGUGCACUCGAAACUGCAUGGCUAGAGUCUCGGAGAGGAUCGUGGAAUUCUCGGUGUAGAGGUGAAAUUCGUAGAUAUCGAGAGGAACACCGGUGGCGAAGGCGGCGACCUGGAUCCUUUUACUGACGAGG
rnacentral:rRNA from 1 species